rnacentral:lncRNA from 1 species
UGGCGAAAAAUUGCCGAUCACGAACCGAUUGCGCGAUGCUGGUUUUCACGACUUCGGCGCUGUGCAGCCGACGUAAACUUUCAUAGUUCGUCAGGGUGCGGCACGAUUUCCACCAAAUCGCCGUCGAAAAUGCCACGAGUACGGCCCCAUGGAGGUCUGGGUACUUAUCGCUGCUAUUAUAUGGGGGUUGGAGUGCAGUCACCCCGAAGCCGGGCGACCUGCGUGCUUGAUAUGCGGCGGGCUACGCGUGCCCGUCAAGCGUGUCCCCGGUAUCGCUCGCGUGGAUCCUACAGCAGUCGUCUGCAGCCUCAUCCGCUUGAUGCGUUAAUGGCUGGUUGUCGGCCGACGCUUUUUCCACGAUAUCGAGGUGUGUUCCGUAUCGUCCUCGGACGAGUCAAGUACGAAAGCGCCGAAGGCGCGGGCGUGACCCGUCGCUUGGCGGCUUUGCCGUCUCGGCUACGUUGCAAGCGCCGAUCGGUCCACCAGUGCUGCGGGCUGAAGUGAAGUACCGCAAGCCGUGACCGAGUCGACGCAACGAAUCUAUCGAGAGUGUGCGUGCUUC